rnacentral:sRNA from 1 species
GCGUCUCACAUGAGCCACCUCCUCCCAGGCUCGAGACGUGUAAAUGGACAAGGCAUCCUCCUCCCAGUCUUGUCCAAAGAAACGUCGCUCACCAGCACCUCCUCCCGCUGGUGAGCGUCCGU